AAUCAACGCUGGCGGCGUGCCUCAGACAUGCAAGUCGAACGCGAAAGUUCCCUUCGGGGAAUAAGUAGAGUGGCGCACGGGUGAGUAACACGUAGGUAAUCUACCUUCGGGUGGGGAAUAACCCAGGGAAACUUGGGCUAACACCGCAUGAUGCAGCGGCACCACAUGGUGACAGUUGUUAAAAGCGGGGGAUUUUCGGACCUCGCGCCUGAAGAGGAGCCUGCGGCGGAUUAGCAGUUGGUGAGGUAACGGCUCACCAAGGUCACGAUCCGUAGCCGGCCUGAGAGGGCGGUCGGCCACACUGACACUGACAUACGGGUCAGACUCCUACGGGAGGCAGCAGUCGGGAAUUUUGGGC
rnacentral:rRNA from 1 species